CUCGUCUUCGGACGGGAGUGGCAGACGGGUGAGUAACACGUGGGAACGUACCCUUUGGUUCGGAAUAACUUGAGGAAACUUGAGCUAAUACCGGAUACGCCCUUUUGGGGAAAGGCUUAACUGCCGAAGGAUCGGCCCGCGUCUGAUUAGCUAGUUGGUGAGGUAACGGCUCACCAAGGCGACGAUCAGUAGCUGGUCUGAGAGGAUGAUCAGCCACACUGGGACUGAGACACGGCCCAG
rnacentral:rRNA from 1 species